UACGGGGGGAGCAAGCGUUGUUCGGAUUUACUGGGCGUAAAGGGCGCGUAGGCGGUCAGCACAAGUCAGUUGUGAAAUCUCCGGGCUUAACUCGGAAAGGUCAACUGAUACUGUGCGACUAGAGUGCGGAAGGGGCAACUGGAAUUCCCAGUGUAGCGGUGAAAUGCGCAGAUAUCAGGAAGAACACCUAUGGCGAAGGCAGCUCUCUGGGACGGUACUGACGCUGAGACGCGAAAGCGUGGGGAGCGAACAGG
rnacentral:rRNA from 1 species